GACAGAGGUGCCGAGCGUUAGGCGGAAUCACUGGGCUUAAAGCGUGUGUAGGCGGACGUCUAAGUCCCUUGUGAAAUCCCACGGCUCAACCGUGGAACUGCUGGGUAUACUGGCGAUCUUGAGCCACCUAGGGGCGAGCGGAACAAGCGGUGGAGCGGUGAAAUGCGUAGAUAUCGCUUGGAACGCCAAUGGUGAAAACAGCUCGCUGGGGGUGUGCUGACGCUGAGACACGAAAGCCAGGGGAGCGAACGGG
rnacentral:rRNA from 1 species